rnacentral:rRNA from 1 species
AGGAUGAACGCUGGCGGUCUGCUUAACACAUGCAAGUCGAACGGAGUACCUCGGUACUUAGUGGCGGACGGGUGAGUAACGCGUGAGAAUCUGCCCUUAGGUCGGGGACAACCAUUGGAAACGAUGGCUAAUACCGGAUAAGCCAAGAGGUAAAAGAUUAAUUGCCUAGGGAAGAGCUCGCGUCUGAUUAGCUAGUUGGUGAGGUAAAGGCUCACCAAGGCAUCGAUCAGUAGCUGGUCUGAGAGGAUGAUCAGCCACACUGGGACUGAGACACGGCCCAGACUCCUACGGGAGGCAGCAGUGGGGAAUUUUCCGCAAUGGGCGAAAGCCUGACGGAGCAAGACCGCGUGAGGGAGGAAGGCUCGUUGGGUUGUAAACCUCUUUUCUUGGGGAAGAACAAAUGACGGUACCCAAGGAAUCAGCAUCGGCUAACUCCGUGCCAGCAGCCGC